ACUUGAUGAAGAAGACGCGGCCAUCCCGGCACACCCCGUAGGACCAAUGCUCAGUUCCAACAUGUCAGCUGGAUGAGAGAAGGGGCUUUGAUCUACCUCAUACACUGCCUGGUCUCCAAUGCCUGGAACAGCACCUGACUCAUAACUCUCAGAGGAUCCAGAACUACAGCCGGUCCUCGCUGGGCUGUUCCUGUCCAUGUGCCUGGUCAUGGUGCUGGGGAACCUGCUCAUCAUCCUGGCCGUCAGCCCUGACUCCCACCUCCACACCCCCAUGUACUUCUUCCUCUCCAACCUGUCCUUGCCUGACAUCGGUUUCACCUCCACCAUGGUCCCCAAGAUGAUUGUGGACAUCCAAUCUCACAGCAGUCAUCUCCUAUGCGGGCUGCCUGACUCAGAUGUCUCUUUUUGCCAUUUUUGGAGGCAUGGAAGAAAGACAUGCUCCUGAGUGUGAUGGCCCUAUGACCGGUUUGUAGCCAUCUGUCACCCUCUAUAUUAUUCAGCCAUCAUGAACCCAUGUUUCUGUGGCUUUCUAGUUCUGUUGUCUUGUUGUCUCAGUCUUUUAGACUCCCAGCUGCACAAUUUGAUUGCCUUGCAAAUUACCUGCUUCAAGGAUGUGGAAAUUCCUAAUUUCUUCUGUGACCCUUCUCAACUCCCCCACCAUGCGUGUUGUGACACCUUCACCAAUAACAUAGUCAUGUAUUUCCCUGCUGCCAUAUUUGGUUUUCUUCCCACCUCGGGGAUCCUUUUCUCUUACUAUAAAAUUGUUUCCUCCAUUCUGAGGGUUUCAUCAUCAGGUGGGAACUAUAAAGCCCUCUCUGCCUGUGGGUCUCACCUGUCAGUUGUUUGCUUAUUUUAUGGAACAGGCGUUGGAGGGUACCUCAGUUCAGAUGUGUCAUCUUCCCCCAGAAAGGGUGCAGUGGCCUCAGUGAUGUACACGGUGGUCACCCCCAUGCUGAACCCCUUCAUCUACAGCCUGAGAAACAGGGAUAUUAAAAGUGUCCUGCGGCGCCUGCACGGCA
rnacentral:lncRNA from 1 species